UACGAAGGUGGCAAGCGUUGUUCGGAUUUACUGGGCGUAAAGGGAGCGUAGGUGGUGGGGUAAGCCCCGCGGGAAAGCUCCAGGCUUAACCUGGAAAGGUCGCGGGGGACUGCUCCGCUCGAGGACGGGAGAGGAGCGCGGAAUUCCCGGUGUAGCGGUGAAAUGCGUAGAGAUCGGGAGGAAGGCCGGUGGCGAAGGCGGCGCUCUGGAACGGCCCUGACACUGAGGCUCGAAAGCGUGGGAAGCAAACAGG
rnacentral:rRNA from 1 species